GAUGAACGCUGGCGGCGUGCCUAAUACAUGCAAGUCGAGCGAACAGACGAGGAGCUUGCUCCUCUGACGUUAGCGGCGGACGGGUGAGUAACACGUGGAUAACCUACCUAUAAGACUGGGAUAACUUCGGGAAACCGGAGCUAAUACCGGAUAAUAUAUUGAACCGCAUGGUUCAAUAGUGAAAGACGGUUUUGCUGUCACUUAUAGAUGGAUCCGCGCCGCAUUAGCUAGUUGGUAAGGUAACGGCUUACCAAGGCGACGAUGCGUAGCCGACCGAGAGGGUGAUCGGCCACACUGGAACUGAGACACGGUCCAGACUCCUACGGGAGGCAGCAGUAGGGAAUCUUCCGCAAUGGGCGAAAGCCUGACGGAGCAACGCCGCGUGAGUGAUGAAGGUCUUCGGAUCGUAAAACUCUGUUAUUAGGGAAGAACAAAUGUGUAAGUAACUAUGCACGUCUUGACGGUACCUAAUCAGAAAGCCACGGCUAACUACGUG
rnacentral:rRNA from 1 species